ACACGACUACAUUAGAUACCCGUGUAGUCCUAGCCGUAAACGACACUCGCUAGGUGUCGGCCACGGUGCGACCGUUGUCGGUGCCGUAGGGAAGCCGUGAAGCGAGCCACCUGGGAAGUACGGCCGCAAGGCUGAAACUUAAAGGAAUUGGCGGGGGAGCACAACAACGGGUGGAGCUUGCGGUUUAAUUGGAUUCAACGCCGGAAAUCUUACCGGGACCGACAGCAACAUGAAGGCCAAGCUGAAGACUUUGCCGGAUUAGCUG
rnacentral:rRNA from 1 species